CCUACGGGUGGCUGCAGUUAAGAAUCUUGCGCAAUGGGCGAAAGCCUGACGCAGCGACACCGCGUGGACGAUGAAGGCCUUCGGGUUGUAAAGUCCGAUAAGCAGGGAAGAAUAAGUUCCGACUAACAUUCGGAGCGAUGACGGUACCUGUCUAAAGCCCCGGCUAACUACGUGCCAGCAGCCGCGGUAAUACGUAUGGGGCAAGCGUUGUUCGGAAUUAUUGGGCAUGAAGGGGGUUUAGGCGGGGUAUGAAAGCCACGGGCUCAACUCGUGAAUUGCACUUAAAACUGGUUCUCUUGAGUUCGGGAGAGGAGAGCGGAAUUCCAGGUGUAGCGGUGAAAUGCGUAGAUAUCUGGAAGAACACCAGUGGCGAAGGCGGCUCUCUGGCCUAGAACUGACGCUGAAGCGCGAAAGCGUGGGGAGCGAACGGGAUUAGAUACCCCUGUAGUC
rnacentral:rRNA from 1 species